rnacentral:lncRNA from 1 species
CUAACAGAAAAGAAUGGCUCCUCCUUGCAACUUUAUCAAACUAUUUUUAAUUUUAUUUUGUUGUCCCUGUUGUUUAAACUAGAGUUAAAGAAUAUCCACUUCAAUUUGGAGAAGUCGCUCUGGACCCUACCACGUGCCCUGGGCUUAGUUUGCAAAUACUCAAAGGACCACUGUCUCCGCUGCUCCUUCGGGUUUACCCACAAUUGAUCAGAAGAAAAGGCAUUCAUACAGCUCCAUCUUUCAUUUUUUUCAGCCUGCCGGUUCCUCCAAUUUCCUCUCCAAAAGAACAUGCAGCUGUUUAUAAAUGUCUCUAUUUAGAAAUGCUCCUUAGGAAGCCAAAGGAAACCUCAGGCUUCUAUCGUGUCCGGCAUUCUGCAUCUUGGCUUUCAGAUAACGUUUUGCGAGUGAUGAUGAGAAUAAAUAAUAUCUUACUGUCUGUGAGGGGAAAAAGAAGCAGCAGAGCCAACGUGGCCUCUCCUAUCAAGAGGAUCAGAGUCCUCAUCGUGGACCGCUGCUUAGGAAAGUUUGCAGGCUUCUGGUUUCCAUUCUGACAUGUAUAAAGCUUGGAAGUCACCAUUCGCAUCCUUACAACAAAAAAAGCUGGACAAACAGAAAAUCAACGUCUUUACUUGGAUCCAUCAGAGAUUGAAGUUUCGAGGUAAACCACACCCUGAAAUCUGGGGAGACAGGUGCAUCCAGAGAGACACAACAGAAGCCUCUAGAAUGGUAAGGGUGGAACCCCUUAACCUCACUGGUUUGUGAUUAUGACUAAUGGUUGCAGGCUGUGUGCAGACUAGUGUGAGAGAGAAGCAUCUAGGGCCCCAAUCCUAGGGAGGGCCCCACAAUUCCCCUCCACCCCAAGAACCCCACCAGGUUCUCAUGAUGAGGAUCUGAGAAAAGUCGCCUCUUGGCCCUGGCAGGAGGAUGGGAAAAGUAACAGUGGUCUAACCCUCCAAAUCCUUCUUCAUGACAAAGGCCUACUCUCCAGGGACGAUACUGAAACCUUAUCCCACCUGCGCUUGGGGAUUUCCACCCUACUCGAGGCCCUAGCCUUCCUGUCUCACCUAAAACAAACCCAAAACACAGUUCACAGGACGCUGGGAAUGAGGGAGGAGGGUCCUAUGCUCAAGGGGGAGAGACAGAAACACUUGUGAAGGCCACAUUUCCAAGACACAGGCCCACCAGAACACUGAGAUUUAAUCAGGAGGUCAUGGAGCUCUUCCCCUCCCCCAACCUUACCACCACACCACUGACCCUCCAGUGGAUUACAGCUGGGAGCGCUGACGACCCCCAUCUCCCUGAGUGGCAGUGCAAAGGGAAGCCCCAAAGCCAGGAGAGGGCAUGAAAGCAAGGACACCAGAGGAAUCUGAAGCCUCUGGAACUCAUAACUUCACCAAACAUUAAACAUAGCCUAACUCCAAGCCCUAUUAACAUAAAUUCUCACACUGAAGGCCUAUUGACCUCAGUACCUAUUACCAAGGCAACAUAUCUGGCUUUCAACAAAAAAUCGUGAGGCAUACUAAAAGACGAGAAAAAACACGGUCUGAAGAGACAAAGCAGGCAUCAGAACCAGAUUCAGACGUGACAGAUGUUGGAAUUAUCAGACAAGAAUUUUAAAUAACUGUGAUUAAUGUGUUAAAGGCCCUAAUAGAAAAGUAGACAGCAUGUAAGACCAAAUCAAUAAUGUCAGCAGAGAAAUGGAAACUAUAAAAAUCAAAAGGAAAUACCAGAAACAAAAAACUGUAGUGGAACUGAAGAAUGUCUUUGGUGGGCUCGUCUGCUGGACACAGCAAGGAAAGAAUGAGUGGAUUUGAAGACAGCUCGAAAGAAGCUUCCCAAACUGAAAUCCAACGAGGGGAAAGAAUUUUAAAAAACAGAACAUUCAAGAACUGUGGGACAAUAUCGCAAGUGCUAACACAUGUGUGAUUGAAAUACUGGAAGGAAAAGAGAACAGGCAGAAGAAAUAUUUGAAAUAAUAAUGUCUGAGAAUUUUCCAAAAUCAAUUACAGACUGCAACCCCCCACAGAUCCAGAAGGUUCAGAGAACACUAAGCGAGAUAAAUACCAAUAAAUAAAUAAAAUCCCCAAACCUAGGCA